rnacentral:rRNA from 1 species
GACCUCAGAUCAAGCAAGAAGACCUGCUGAAUUUAAGCAUAUAACUAAGCAGAGGAAAAGAAACCAACUCGGAUUCCCCUAGUAACGGCGAGUGAAGCGGGAACAGCUCAUGAUGUAAAUCUGGGUGGCGUUUCGUUACCCCGAAUUGUAGUCUACAGAAGCGUGUCCAGCCGCGCCCCCUGGCAAAGUCCCCUGGAACGGGGCAUCGUGGACGGUGACAAUCCGGUUCAUGCCUGGGGUGUCGCGUGUGUACGGGCCGUUUUCAACGAGUCGAGUUGCUUGGGAUUGCAGCUCUAAGCGGGUGGUAAAUUCCAUCUAAAGCUAAAUAUUGGUGGGAGACCGAUAGCGAACAAGUACCGUGAGGGAAAGAUGAAAAGAACUUUGGAAAGAGAGUUAAACAG